CGUCAUAGAACAUUUUUUAAUCUCCGUUCCUGUCUCAACCAACCUUCGAUCUUGUGUCCUCCUUUAGGCCCCUGCCCCCUGCCCAUCAAACCCAGAGAGAAGCCCGCCAGGCCACGUUUCUCUUCCACAGGGGCCUCAAGGUUCACGCCCAGGUGCAGAAGCCAGCUCCAACCUCUCUACCCCCUACUCCAGUUAGAUCUCGCCAAUGGCGCACGUCAACAAACAGCAGUGGGAUCCUGACCGUUUCCAUCGACAACCCCACUGCCACCAUGACGCAGCCUGAGCCUCCCAGUGCUUGGUCCCUGCACCCCUCGGCACCCAUCAGCCCGGCCCCAGUCAAGGUGGAGGAGGAGAAGAAACCAGUACCACCUAAAGGAGUCCCCCUGCAGUUUGACAUCAACAGCGUGGGGAAACAGCCCAAUACCUCGGCCCUCAUCUGCGGAGAGCCAAACCAUGGACAUCCCCAUCCACCCCAAAAGCCGCUUGGGUGACCAGCAGGGACAGAUCAGAACGCAGCCAAACUAGCCUAUGCUCCAGUACCAGCACCGUUGAGUCAUGGCCCUUCUCGGUCUACCCAAGGUGCGAGGACAUUGUUAUCCACCACGAGAGGGUACCAUCGCUUGAGAUGGUGAGAAAGGGGUCCGGUAAGUGCCGGGCCAGGUCUGCCCAAUCACUGGGCUCCGAUGCCUCGGAGCGGACCCUCACCAGCAUCCCAGAGGAUGCCCCCAUCCUGGUCCACCACAUCACCCAGGCUGUGCCCGAGGAGACUCCAGGAGGUUAGAGCUGACCUGGCUAAGGAUGCUGCACCUAAACCUGCCAAGAAGUCCCUCUGGAAAAGGCUGCGAGGUUACUUCAAUAGGACGAAUGCGCAUGCCAAGAAAACUGAGGUGCAGCAAGAGGACGACGACAAAGACACAGAUGAA